CCUACGGGAGGCAGCAGUGGGGAAUAUUGCACAAUGGGGGAAACCCUGAUGCAGCGACGCCGCGUGAGUGAAGAAGUAUCUCGGUAUGUAAAGCUCUAUCCGCAGGGAAGAAAAUGACGGUACCUGAGUAAGAAGCCCCGGCUAACUACGUGCCCCCAGCCGCGGUAAUACGUAGGGGGCCAGCGUUAUCCGGAUUUACUGGGUGUAAAGGGAGCGUAGACGGGAGCACAAGUCUGGAGUGAAAUGCUGGGGCUUAACCCGGGAACUGCUUUGGAAACUGUGCAGCUAGAGUGCAGUAGAGGUAAGUGGAAUUCCUAGUGUAGCGGUGAAAUGCGUAGAUAUUAGGAGGAACACCAGUGGCGAAGGCGGCUUACUGGACUUUAACUGACGUUGAGGCUCGAAAGUGUGGGGAGCAAACAGGAUUAGAUACCCGGGUAGUC
rnacentral:rRNA from 1 species